CCCUUAGAUGUCCUGGGCCGCACGCGCGUUACACUGAUGCACUCAACGAGCAUAUAACCUUGGCCGAGAGGCCUGGGUAAUCUUGUUAACAUGCAUCGUGAUAGGGAUAGAUUAUUGCAAUUAUUAAUCUUGAACGAGGAAUUCCUAGUAAUCGCGGAUCAUCAAUCCGCAAUGAUUACGUCCCUGCCCUUUGUACACACCGCCCGUCGCUCCUACCGAUUGAGUGGUCCGGUGAGGCUUUGGGAUCUGAGCGGAAAGAGCGUUUCGCUGUUUCUGCCCGGAAAACUCAGUCGAACCUUAUCAUUUAGAGGAAGGAGAAGUCGUAACA
rnacentral:rRNA from 1 species